rnacentral:rRNA from 1 species
UACAGAGGUCUCAAGCGUUUGUUCGGAUUCAUUGGGCGUAAAGGGUGCGUAGGCGGCGCGGUAAGUCGGGUGUGAAAUCUCGGAGCUUAACUCCGAAACUGCAUUCGAUACUGCGGUGCUUUGAGGACUGGAGAGGAGACUGGAAUUCAUGGUGUAGCAGUGAAAUGCGUAGAGAUCAUGAGGAAGACCAGUGGCGAAGGCGGGUCUCUGGACAGUUCCUGACACUGAGACACGAAGGCCAGGGGAGCAAACGGG